rnacentral:rRNA from 1 species
AACGAACGCUGGCGGCAUGCCUAACACAUGCAAGUCGAACGAGACCUUCGUGUCUAGUGGCGCACGGGUGCGUAACGCGUGGGAACCUGCCCUUAGGUUCGGAAUAACUCCCCGUAGGGGGUGCUAAUACCGGAAAAUGUCUUCUAACAAAAGAUUUGUCGGCCUUGGAUGGGCCCGCGUUGGAUUAGCCUGUUGGUAGGGUAAAAGCCUACCACGGCGACGAUCCAUAGCUGGUCUGAGAGGAUGAUCAGCCACACUGGGACUGAGACACGGCCCAGACUCCUACGGGAGGCAGGAGUGGGGAAUAUUGGAAAAUGGGCGAAAGCCUGAUCCAGCAAUGCCGCGUGAGUGAUGAAGGCCUUAGGGUUGUAAAGCUCGUUUACCCGGGAUGAUAAUGACAGUACCGGGAGAAUAAGCUCCGGCUAACUCCGUG